UACUCCCGCCGGCGACCGGCGCACGGGUGAGUAACACGUAUGAAACCUGCCCGUAGCAGGGGAUAAGCGGAAGAAAUUCCGUCUAAUACCGCGUAACAACCCGAGGAGGCAUCUCCUCGGGUUUAAAGGAAGCGAUUCCGGCUACGGAUGGUCAUGCGUCGCAUUAGCUAGUUGGCGGGGUAACGGCCCACCAAGGCGACGAUGCGUAGGGGUUCUGAGAGGAAGGUCCCCCACACUGGUACUGAGACACGGACCAGACUCCUACGGAAGGCAGCAG
rnacentral:rRNA from 1 species